rnacentral:rRNA from 1 species
GACGAACGCUGGCGGCGUGCUUAACACAUGCAAGUCGUACGGUAAGGUCCUUUCGGGGGUACACGAGUGGCGAACGGGUGAGUAACACGUGAGUAACCUGCCCACAACUUUGGGAUAACGCUAGGAAACUGGUGCUAAUACUGGAUAUGUGCUCCUGCUGCAUGGUGGGGGUUGGAAAGCUCCGGCGGUUGUGGAUGGACUCGCGGCCUAUCAGCUUGUUGGUGGGGUAGUGGCCUACCAAGGCGGCGACGGGUAGCCGGCCUGAGAGGGUGACCGGCCACAUUGGGACUGAGAUACGGCCCAGACUCCUACGGGAGGCAGCAGUGGGGAAUAUUGCACAAUGGGCGCAAGCCUGAUGCAGCAACGCCGCGUGCGGGAUGACGGCCUUCGGGUUGUAAACCGCUUUCAGCAGGGACGAAGCUUUUUGUGACGGUACCUGCAGAAGAAGCACCGGCUAACUACGUG